rnacentral:rRNA from 1 species
CGUGUAGGCGGCCCGGUAAGUCCGCUGUGAAAGUCGGGGGCUCAACCCUCGAAUGCCGGUGGAUACUGUCGGGCUAGAGUGCGGAAGAGGCGAGUGGAAUUCCUGGUGUGGCGGUGGAAUGCGCAGAUAUCAGGAGGAACACCGAUUGCGAAGGCAGCUCGCUGGGACGUAACUGACGCUGAGACGCGAAAGCGUGGGAGCAAACA